rnacentral:rRNA from 1 species
AAUAUUGCACAAUGGGCGCAAGCCUGAUGCAGCCAUGCCGCGUGUAUGAAGAAGGCCUUCGGGUUGUAAAGUACUUUCAGCAGUGAGGAAGGUGGGGUAUGUUAAUAGCAUACUCAUUUGACGUUAGCUGCAGAAGAAGCACCGGCUAACUCCGUGCCAGCAGCCGCGGUAAUACGGAGGGUGCGAGCGUUAAUCGGAAUUACUGGGCGUAAAAGCGCAUGCAGGUGGUUUGUUAAGUCAGAUGUGAAAGCCCGGGGCUCAACCUCGGAAUUGCAUUUGAAAACUGGCAAACUAGAGUACUGUAGAGGGGGUAGAAUUUCAGGUGUAGCGGUGAAAUGCGUAGAGAUCUGAAGGAAUACCGGUGGCGAAGGCGGCCCCCUGGACAGAUACUGACACUCAGAUGCGAAAGCGUGGGGAGCAAACAGGAUUAGAUACCCUGGUAG